GGGGGUGUAGCUCAGUUGGGAGAGCGUCUCGUUCGCAACGAGAAGGUCAGCGGUUCGAUCCCGCUCACCUCCA
rnacentral:tRNA from 1 species